rnacentral:misc_RNA from 1 species
CCAAACUUGGUCAUUUAGAGGAAGUAAAAGUCGUAACAAGGUCUCCGUUGGUGAACCAGCGGAGGGAUCAUUACCGAGUUUACAACUCCCAAACCCAAUGUGAACCUUUACCUGUCGUUGCUUCGGCGGGGUCGCCCCGGGGCGGAAGCCGCGCGCGCCAGCGCCGGCCGCAAGCCCCGGAACCAGGCGCCCGCCGGAGGCCACAAACUCUUGUUUUUCCACAGUGGUAUUAUCUGAGUGGCAUAAGCAAAAAUAAAUCAAAACUUUCAACAACGGAUCUCUUGGUUCUGGCAUCGAUGAAGAACGCAGC